rnacentral:sRNA from 1 species
UGACCUUAGAAGGGAGCACCCUUACCCUC